UACGUAGGGGGGCAAGCGUUGUCCGGAUUUAUUGGGCGUAAAGAGCGUGUAGGCGGCCAGAUAGGUCAGCUGUGAAAAACUCGAGGCUCAACCUCGAGAUGUCGGCUGAAACCAUCUGGCUAGAGUCCGGAAGAGGAGAAUGGAAUUCCAGGUGUAGCGGUGAAAUGCGUAGAUAUCUGGAGGAACACCGGUGGCGAAGGCGGCAUCCUGGACCGGCAUUGACGCUGAGGCGCGAAAGCCAGGGGAGCAAACGGG
rnacentral:rRNA from 1 species